rnacentral:lncRNA from 1 species
GUUGGUAAGGGCUCUUUGCCUCUUGAGGGCCCCUUAACAGCAUCUUUAUUAGACUCCCAUAAGGGUGACUUCAUAGUGAAGGCCAAAGCAUAAGAUUGGUUGGCUUUCGCCACCAGAGUAGUUGAUAUAACCUCUGGCCCGUCACACGCCCUGGGUAAUGGGGCCUGGUAUUUCAAGCUCUCUUUGGGGACUGGGAAUAUAGCGGAAAGUCUUAGAGUGCUGUUCUGGGCAUGGCUUUGUGACUAACUAGCCUGCAACCUUAGUCCAGGAACCUAUUCUGUGACUCUUUUCUUACCUGUGGAAUAAUAGGCUAGGUGAGUUCUAAGUUUCACAAGUAUGCAAUGCAUUUUCUGUUUUUCAGAGUGAACUAAUACGAGAAACCAACUCUGUAGAUGACAAGGUUAAUGAAAAUCUUAGACAGAAGUUGCUGUAAACAUUUCAGAUUGAUUGAGGACAUUGCAGCAGCCACAGAGACGUGAAAGAGGACUGCUGGAACUGCUUCAGAAGGCAGCAAGACCCGCGGGAGAACUGUCUGAAGUGAGGGAGGAAUACUUUGCGGGUGAUUAGUGGUGCAAACACCGGGUGCUCAGAAUGUGUCAAGCUUUCAUUGUCCACAACACGGAAGGGCAGAGACAAGAUGAGGAACAAGGAUGCAGGUCAUUGGUGACCAGAACACAAAUGCUUCCAUUAUUUCAUUCUUCCCCGAAGUCUGUGAUCGACUGGGGCAGGAGAUGCUCUGGGUUUUACAGAUGGAGACGCUAAGGUCCCAAGAAGGUGACCAUGCCAGUUGGCACAGCAAGCUACUAAGCUGGCACUGGGAUGGUGGUGGUUGUGGCUCUACCUCACCGAGCACAGGUCUCCAGUUGCAGUUGUCACAUUUCAAGGGCUCAAUAGCCACAUGUGCAUCUUAGUGGAAGCCCCACCUGGAUCAAGGCAUGAGAACAUAAACACCGCCUCUCGAUGGGAGAAGGGCCAAGCUGGGUGGACUUGCCGUGCCACGGAAUGAAAGCAAGCCUGGCCCCCUUCUCACUGAUUGAAAGACGGAGCCACUGACAGCCAUCUCCAGCAGCUUCCUUGCUGGCGGGGGUUCCUCCAUUAACAGCAAUGAAAAUAAUUUGGGAGAACAUAAGCCCAUCGAAUGCUGUUGCUGUCCUAUGCAUUGCACCAAAUGAGGAGAAGCCCGGUGAGCUCCAUCGUUUGUCACACGGAAGCAUAACACAGUAGCGGGGUUGCCGGCAUCUGGAGUUGGUGGCAGUAGACGGUGUGGCAGCAACCAGGGCACUGAGACCUGGGACCAGGGCGCACAUUUCACGGGUCUCUGUGCAGGUGAUUUGGCUGGGUUUUCCUUUAGCUUGAGGGCUUCG